UCAAAUGCCCGUUUGCUUCGUCUCGUUUUAUCAGGACAUUUUUCGAUGUCAAAUCACGGUGGAAAAUUCCUCUGCUGUGGAGGUAGGCCAUACCACGUGCCACAUCCCGGGCGAGGUUCAUUCGUGUCGAGUGACUCAGGGGUGUGUGCCUUGCCAUUAUAAGCUGCUCCAGACUACCUCCAUUUAUGUAUUCUGUCAGUGCGUGGAGUUGACCCUCGUGGACGCAAACUCCCAUGAACCUUUUCGGUAAAGAGGAAAGAAAGGAAUUGAUAUUAUUUUAUUAAAAUGAAAGUCGACGGCCGAGUAAGGUUUUGAGGUAAUUGAUUCAUCUUGAGGACCAUCACUUGUCCCGUUACCUUGUGAGUGACCUGAAACAGUGGUGAUACAAAAUUAUGCAAUUCUCUAUAAAUUGGGAAUGUAAAUAAUCAUUACUAUAUAUUUAUCUGUUGAUCAUUGAUCAAUUCAUAAAUAAGUUUUUUGUCACUUGAUGAAAAAUAGUCUCAUUGAAUUGAAUUGAAAAGUCUCCUGGUUGCAAUAGCGCCCAAUAAAAUGGAAUUGAAAUCAGGAAAAGAAAAACAAAAUAAAUUGAACAUGGAUGUAGUAAGACUCCUAAGUUAUUUGAAAGCAUAUAUCCAGCCAAAAUUCCUUGGCAAUAGCUGACUUAGUUGGGGGUGAGCCAAACUAUGACGAAUAAGGUUGACUCAAUGGUAUCCGCGAAUUUCUGGUCAACAGAAUGACACUCGAAUCGAGAAAUCCAUAAAAUGUGAAAUUAUUCAACAAAAUAAUUAUUUCAUUCUGAUUUGGUAAUGCGUCAAUAAAAAAAAUAAUAAAUAAAAAGGUAGAUAUUUAUAAUCUCUUCUAUUUAAAAGAAAAGAAAAACACUACGUAAAUUCUCUCGAAAAGGAUGAAAUUUCUCUGCACCUCAGCAAUGGAAAAAACCGUAUCAGCAGUGAAAUGCGUGCUAAGAAGAUGCUAGAUCAUCAACAGAGAUAUAUCAAACAGAAUUAUAAACUUUCAUGCGAUUUCUAAAAUCCUACAACUUCCGACGCGAUCCAACAAUGUGCAGUUAUCAUUGACCGGAAAUACGCUUACCCAUAUGUAUAUGAAGUUGUUAAAGUCAUCGCAAUCAUGCGUUCAACUAUCUCCACCAAGAAAAACUCUCUUAAUUAAAAAAUGAAGAAAUUAUUGUCAAUAAAUUAUCAUCACUGAAUCGCAAAAGCCAGCCGGAAUAUUGAGGUAAAACACCAUCAUUCAUAACUAGUUUUUGUUGUUGGAAAAUUGUAAUAAAUAAAAAUACAUAUUUAAUCUUAUAAUUAAAGAAACAUUUGCCGUUUUGGAUAGAAUAAAAGUAGGUAACUUGUAUAAAAACAAGUGGGGAAUUUUCUGUUCACCUAUUUUCCGUUAAAUGGAAUUUCUAUGACGAUAAAUUUUCAAUUGAAUUUUUCGAUUUGAUCAGCAAAUUCACCACUGCCCCGGCGUUGGUAUUUUCUACUUUCACCUAAAUAUUGAUUUCACCAUGAAUUCUUCAUUUAAAAUUAUAUAUCACAUUGAUCAACACGAGUUGAAUGAACAUCGGAGGUCAGAUGAGUGACCUUGAAUUUUUUCAACUGCAUCCUUCAUUCGAAUUCACUCUACGUGAAUUUUGAGAAGCUCGACGAGCCGAGAACCCGGAACAUAUUAUCUACAAAAGUAAUGAAAAAGCCGCAACUUAUACAAAAAAAUUCACGUUUUUCGGAGUUGAUAAAUGCAAACAGAAACGAAGAGGGGAUUGAGGGGGAGUAGGUGUAAAAGGCUCAUUAGAGAGUGUUCGUACUCCAUGAGCAACGAGGCGUGACCAGCUUUCACGUGUCUUUCCAGCAUUCUUCCAAAGAAUUUGCCCGAAGGUAAAUAUUUGGCGUGUAAGUAUAAUCGAUAUAAAUUUGUCUGCUUUAUUUUUAUUUGAAACGGAACGAAAUAAAAAAAAAAUAGGGUAAUAGAACUAAAAUAUAACUGCCUGUGAGCGUAGAAAUCAUGGUGCGCAAGGUCGUCGCUAAAUUUUCAGUGUUACAUAUGUAUGUAUAUGUUCCACUGAUUAUUUCCGUUACUUUCGAUAUAUACACGAGAAUUAUUUUUCCCACCAUUUGAGUCAAUUGUAGAUAAAAAACAUGUAAUAUUGACAGGUUUUGAAUAGCGAAUCUUUCUUGUUUUCAGGACAAAUAUGCUAUUCCAAUUCAUGAAAGGAGAUGAAUAAUAUAUCAACGAAUAUUAAUGGUUCAUAUAUUACUAAUAUAUUAUUAAUAUACUAUCAAUGCAUAUUAUUUUUAGUGCUUCUGGAAAUUUUCCGAAAAUUCAAGAAGUUUCCGGAAAAUUCGAAAGAGAGAGAGAGAGAAGGCCGCGUACUAUAUUGUUAUUCUAUCCGUAAGGCCGUGCUUGACGGGAGCUGAGCAAUUGACAAGUACGAAUUCCUUAGCAAGAAGAUUAUACCCAUUCCUUAAAAAAAAACAAAAUUCCAAUUGACUUAAAAAUGGAACUUCAACGGUAAAAAGUCAAUAGAUGAAAUAAUUCUCUACGAUUGUGAAAUCUUCGAGGGGUUAAACGUUUAGACGUCUAAUGCAUCAGCGUUGCAUAAUUCAAAUGUCAAAUUACACAAUUGUGCAUCCCUGAAUUAUCCAGCACCCAAUGAUAUUAAAAAAAAACAGAAAUUCAGUUGUGUAGAUAAUAACUUGAAAAUUUGAGAUGAAAAUAAAUUUUUAUUGUUAAAACGAAA